CAGCCGGCAGAGGGGCUGGAGGGGGUGGAGAGAAGGCGCCGGAAGCCGCACGCCGCACCUCUGAAGCCACCGCGCACAAAGCCCAGACGGCCUGGGCGCCGGAGGACCAGGCCACGCGCGCCCCCUUGGCCUCUUUUUCCUUCUCUCUGGCUCCCCUUUCCCUCCCGAUUCAAAAAGACGAUGCUGCUUCAGCUUGGAGCACAAACAUAUGAUCAGCACAUGGAAAUGUGGUAAUUUGGAUGCAUUCGUGAUUGCAACAGAUUGAAGAAAUUAGACCAGACAAAGAGUGUUUUUGGAGGAGGAGGAAGAGGCAGAGAGGGAGGGCGUCGGGGGUGAGAAAGGGGAGGACGCCUCUGGAGAGGGGGUCGCCAGACUCCCGCCUGCUGCUAAAUAUCCCGUAGUGAUGGAGAGAGACCGGAUCACAGCCUUGAAAAGAUCAUUUGAGGUUGAGGAGGUCGAGACGCCCAACUCCACCCCACCCCGGAGGGUCCAGACCCCCCUGCUCCGGGCCACUGUGGCCAGCUCCACCCAGAAAUUCCAGGACCUGGGUGUGAAGAACUCAGAACCCGCAGCCCGCCAUGUAGACUCCCUAAGCCAGCGCUCCCCCAAGGCUGCCCUGCGCAGGGUGGAGCUCCCGGGGCCCAAGGCCGAGCCCGUGUCUCGGCGCACCGAGAUCUCCAUUGACAUCUCAUCCAAGCAGGUGGAGAGCGCCGGUGCCAGCGGGCCAUCCCGGUUCGGGCUCAAGCGGGCCGAGGCGCUGGGCCACAAGACACCAGAGCCCACCCCUCGGAGGACGGAGAUCACCAUAGUCAAACCCCAGGAGUCAGCCCACCGGAGGAUGGAGAACGCCACUUCCAGGAUCCCUGAGGGACCCGCCGCCCCCACCACGGACGCAGCCUCCAAGAGGGUGGAGAUCCAGGUGCCUAGGCCAGCUGAGGUGCCUGCCGCCCCCAUCCUACCCCAGGCCCUGGAGAAUUCAGAACCCAGCCCGAUGUCUCCACUGCAGAGCAGGCUGGAGCCCAAGCCCCAGGCUCCUGCGGCCGAGGCCCCGCCCAGGAGCCAGGAGGCUACUGAGGCAGCUCCUGGCUGUGCUGGUGACAUGGCCGACACCCCCAGAGAUGUCGGGCUCAAGCAGGCGCCCUUGCCUCGGAACGAGAAGGCCCCUGUCGACUUCGGCUACGUGGGGAUCGACUCCAUCCUGGAGCAGAUGCGCAGGAAGGCCAUGAAGCAGGGCUUCGAGUUCAACAUCAUGGUGGUCGGGCAGAGCGGCUUGGGGAAGUCCACCUUGAUCAACACCCUCUUCAAAUCCAAAAUCAGCCGAAAGUCGGUGCAGCCCACCUCAGAGGAGCGCAUCCCCAAGACGAUUGAGAUCAAGUCCAUCACGCAUGAUAUCGAGGAGAAAGGUGUCCGCAUGAAGCUGACGGUCAUCGACACGCCAGGGUUUGGUGACCACAUCAACAAUGAGAACUGCUGGCAGCCCAUUAUGAAGUUCAUCAAUGACCAAUACGAGAAGUACCUACAGGAGGAGGUCAACAUCAACCGGAAGAAGCGCAUCCCGGACACGCGCGUCCACUGCUGCUUGUACUUCAUUCCUGCCACUGGCCACUCCCUCAGGCCCCUGGACAUCGAGUUCAUGAAACGCCUGAGCAAAGUGGUUAACAUUGUUCCGGUCAUUGCCAAGGCUGACACGCUGACCCUGGAGGAGAGGGUCUACUUCAAGCAGCGGAUCACUGCGGACCUGCUGUCCAACGGCAUCGAUGUGUACCCCCAGAAGGAGUUUGACGAGGACUUGGAGGACAGGCUGGUGAACGAGAAAUUCCGGGAGAUGAUCCCUUUCGCGGUGGUGGGCAGUGAUCACGAGUACCAAGUGAAUGGGAAGAGGAUCCUUGGGAGGAAAACCAAAUGGGGUACCAUUGAAGUUGAGAAUACCACACACUGUGAGUUUGCCUACCUGCGGGACCUGCUCAUCAGGACGCACAUGCAGAACAUCAAGGACAUCACCAGUAGCAUCCACUUCGAGGCCUACCGGGUGAAGCGCCUGAACGAGGGCAACAGCGCCAUGUCCAACGGGGUCGAGGAGAAGGAGCCAGAAGCCCAGGAGAUGUAGGCUCUGCCCUGCCCCUAGGACCCUGCACCCGGUCUUUUCCGUCCCCCCAGGCCUGCCCACUUCCCCUUUUUAUUUUAUAUAAUUUCCUCCAUUUGUCCUCGUGACCUGCCCCUACACGCUGCCCUUAACAAGAUAAUGUGUACCCUCCUGAGUAUGUUCGGCAUUAGCCCUCUGAUGGGGCCUGGACUGGGGGUGGCUUGGAGUAGAGGCAGCUCUGGCCAUCCCUGAGGGCCUGCCAACCCCCAGCCCCAGGCCUGGCUCCUGGGGCCCAGAAGGCAGUCUUGCUCCCCCUCCACCACAGCCUCUCGUGCAUGUUGUGGUUGUGCCCGGGAGCCAGCCUGGUGGACCUGAAGCCCUCCCCCACCCCCACCUCCCUACAUGGCGUGGGCCAUAACUCAAACCGUGAAACUCAGAGCCCCCUGCUCUUGGCCCACCCCUGAGGGGAGAGUAAUAAGUCCCAUGAAUGCAAGUUGCCGAUUGCUUAGACACAGCAAAGCCCAUUGGCUGCUGCCCACCUGCCCCCCUGCAAGCCCAUCCUGGGGCAGAAAGUGCCUUUAUCUCAGUUGUCCAUGCAAGCCAGCAGACUCUCCCCAGAUGUCCCCGCAGAUGGAAAAUCAGGACAGUCGGAGAGGGGGAGGUGUGUCUCAUCUCUCCAUUGUGUCCCUGCAACCACCCCCCAGCCUCGUGAUUUUGGAAAGUCAAGCAAGUGAAUCUGGUGGAGGAGCUGUGGGAGGAGGUGAUGGAUGGCAGGUGCUGGAAGGAAGGGGGCUUGGGAUGCUCAGAGCGGCCUUGGGGACCUUGAUGCCUGCUGCCCCACACUGCCCUGUGUGGCCGGGUGGGGGGUGUACCUCUUCGUGUGUUUGGACAUCCCUUUGGCCCAAGAUGCUCUGGUUAAAUUAAUGUUCAGUCGACCACCCAGGUACACAUUGAGCCCUCCUGGCCCAGACCUUGCUGACACUGUGACCCUGGGAUGUGGGAGACCAGGCUGACUUUUUGUUCCAUAAUUGUUCCUGGGCUCCUGCAACUCAGAGCCCAUUGUAAAGACCCUCAAAGGAAGAUACUGGGAAUCGUGGUGGCCCUCCGCCGACUGCAGAGUGGGCGUUCAUGUCAGCAUGGCCUGGCUGGUCUCUCUGCUCCCACACCUCUGUGUUGGCAUCAGCAGGGACCAUCCGAGCUGUGCAGAGUAGACUGACUGCAGGUGCUUCUUCCUGCCUCUUUACAAGAGUGAGGGGACUGGUGCCUGGCUCAGGCCAAGAUGAAACACAGGUGGGGUGACAUCUGUCCACAGGCCCCAGGCUGGCUGCUUGUAGCUGAUGAGAAGAGUGGAGGCAGCAUGGGGCAUGGGUAGACCUGGGGGCGGGGGGGGGGGCUGCACACGUGUGCAUGCAGGUGUGGGUGUCCUUUCUCUGUUGAGCCCCGCCCACCCAGAGAGGAAGGGCCCUUCAGUGAAACAGUUUACUUGCCGACUUGCCAUGUUUUUGCCAAAACCAAGAUCCUGAAGGAAAUGUCCAUCUCCAGCAGGGUCCAGGAUGCGGGCAGACUGGAGGUGGAGUUCUGCCCUGGGAGGGCUUCACUUUCCUCUGUAGCCAAAUUUUGAAAGAAUUGUUCGUUUCGCUGGGAUGUGUUCCACAGUGGCCUUUAGCUAUGUGCCUCCUGAGAAAUUUUUUUUUGUAUAAAUAACAAAGCGUUGAAAAGGUAUUUCCUGAAAUAAAUGUUCCAAAUGCAAACCUGGAA